rnacentral:rRNA from 1 species
GAUGAACGCUGGCGGCGUGCUUAACACAUGCAAGUCGAACGAAGCACUUUGAAACUUUCGGGUUUCAAGGUGACUGAGUGGCGGACGGGUGAGUAACGCGUGGGUAACCUGCCUUAUACAGGGGGAUAACAGUUAGAAAUGACCGCUAAUACCGCAUAACCCGCUAGGGUCACAUGACUUAGACGGAAAAGAUUUAUCGGUAUAAGAUGGACCCGCGUCUGAUUAGCUAGUUGGUGAGGUAAUGGCCCACCAAGGCGACGAUCAGUAGCCGGCUUGAGAGAGUGAACGGCCACAUUGGGACUGAGACACGGCCCAAACUCCUACGGGAGGCAGCAGUGGGGAAUAUUGGACAAUGGGCGCAAGCCUGAUCCAGCCAUGCCGCGUGAGUGAUGAAGGCCUUCGGGUUGUAAAGCUCUUUAGCCGACGAAUAUAAUGACUGUAGUCGGAGAAUAAGCCCCGGCUAACUUCGUGCCAGCCGCCGCGGUAAGAC